rnacentral:rRNA from 1 species
AUGAAUCGGAGACUUAAUCUUGGUAUACCUCAGAACAAUACAUUCUUGUUACCACGAGAUGUAUUGGCCGCUACGGAUCAUUUGAUUGGAAUGAAAUUUGGAACGGGUAUACUUGACGAUGACGAUAUGAAUCACUUGAAAAAUAAACGUAUUCGUUCGGUUGCAGAUCUGUUACAAGAUCAAUUCGGAUUGGCUCUUGGUCGUUUACAACAUGCAGUUCAAAAAACUAUUCGUAGAGUAUUCAUACGUCAAUCGAAACCGACUCCCCAAACUUUGGUAACUCCAACUUCAACUUCAAUUUGA